rnacentral:rRNA from 1 species
ACUCCUACGGGAGGCAGCAGUGGGGAAUAUUGCGCAAUGGGCGAAAGCCUGACGCAGCGACGCCGCGUGGGGGAUGAAGGCCUUCGGGUUGUAAACCCCUUUCAGCAGGGACGAAGCGAAAGUGACGGUACCUGCAGAAGAAGCGCCGGCUAACUACGUGCCAGCAGCCGCGGUAACACGUAGGGCGCAAGCGUUGUCCGGAAUUAUUGGGCGUAAAGAGCUCGUAGGCGGUCUGUUGCGUCCGCUGUGAAAACUCGGGGCUUUACCCCGAGCUUGCAGUGGAUACGGGCAGACUAGAGGUAGGUAGGGGAGAAUGGAAUUCCCGGUGUAGCGGUGAAAUGCGCAGAUAUCGGGAGGAACACCGGUGGCGAAGGCGGUUCUCUGGGCCUUACCUGACGCUGAGGAGCGAAAGCGUGGGGAGCAAACAGGAUUAGAUACCCUGGUAGUCCACGCCGUAAACGUUGGGCGCUAGGUGUGGGAUC